UGACACCGAGUUCUAUCCAAUCUUUGUCCC
rnacentral:piRNA from 1 species